GACGAACGCUGGCGGCGUGCCUAAUACAUGCAAGUCGAACGCUUCUUUCCUCCCGAGUGCUUGCACUCAAUUGGAAAGAGGAGUGGCGGACGGGUGAGUAACACGUGGGUAACCUACCCAUCAGAGGGGGAUAACACUUGGAAACAGGUGCUAAUACCGCAUAACAGUUUAUGCCGCAUGGCAUAAGAGUGAAAGGCGCUUUCGGGUGUCGCUGAUGGAUGGACCCGCAGUGCAUUAGCUAGUUGGUGAGGUAACGGCUCACCAAGGCCACGAUGCAUAGCCGACCUGAGAGGGUGAGCGGCCACACUGGGACUGAGACACGGCCCAGACUCCUACGGGAGGCAGCAGUAGGGAAUCUUCGGCAAUGGACGGGAGUCUGACCGAGCAACGCCGCGUGAGUGAAGAAGGUUUUCGGAUCGUAAAACUCUGUUGUUAGAGAAGAACAAGGACGUUAGUAACUGAACGUCCCCUGACGGUAUCUAACCAGAAAGCCACGGCUAACUACGUGCCAGCCGCCGCCGUAA
rnacentral:rRNA from 1 species